AUUGAACGCUGGCGGCAUGCCUUACACAUGCAAGUCGAACGGCAGCGCGGACUUCGGUCUGGCGGCGAGUGGUGAACGGGUGAGUAAUACAUCGGAACGUACCCUGUUGUGGGGGAUAACUAGUCGAAAGAUUAGCUAAUACCGCAUACGACCUGAGGGUGAAAGUGGGGGACCGCAAGGCCUCACGCAGCAGGAGCGGCCGAUGUCUGAUUAGCUAGUUGGUGGGGUAAAGGCCCACCAAGGCGACGAUCAGUAGCUAGUCUGAGAGGACGAUCAGCCACACUGGGACUGAGACACGGCCCAGACUCCUACGGGAGGCAGCAGUGGGGAAUUUUGGACAAUGGGGGCAACCCUGAUCCAGCAAUGCCGCGUGUGUGAAGAAGGCCUUCGGGUUGUAAAGCACUUUUGUCCGGAAAGAAAUCGCGCUGGUUAAUACCUGGCGUGGAUGACGGUACCGGAAGAAUAAGCACCGGCUAACUACGUG
rnacentral:rRNA from 1 species